rnacentral:tRNA from 1 species
GAGGGUAUAGCUCAGUGGUAAAGUAUGCACUUAGCAGGCACAAGGUCCUGGGUUCAAUCCCCACUACCUCCA